ensembl:lncRNA
GCCUAGUACAGAUGUAACCUCCAGUAUGAAUAGGAGAAUUCAUUAGGCAUCAAGGUCUUUAAACUCAUUGGGACUAAACAGCACUUUACCUCACACCAUAACUGUUAGCAAGUGAUUUAGUGACAAGGGAUUGAUGAGGUACAUUUCCCUGGAGGGCACGGUAAAUAAAUUUUUUUGUCCUGAAGCAUUUUUACAGAAAUGUUUAUGUAUUCAAGUAUCCAAAGUUAAUUCAUUUUCAGUAGUUUGACAGAUUUUUUUUAUUUUUUUUCCAAUGACCAAUGAAAAUCUUGUGUGAGUUCAUCUCUUUUUACGGUAUUAUUUUGAACUUUUCCUGCAUGAUCUAAUCUCACAGUGGAAAACUAAAUAAAAGUUUAUUGGUAAGCAGGAAUGAAUUCACUGGCCUGCUCAGCUGGCAUUAUAGAUGAAAACAAUGCUUUGACGUUUUGGAACAGUACUUUUCCAUGGUUUUGGAAGUCAUGAUGGUGAUGCUUAGCAAAUCAUCUGCAUCAUUUCCCUAAUUGUGCCAUAGCACUCCUUAGGAAGACCAUCAGUAUGAUCUUAGCUAAUUUUCAGAUGCCUCAUUUGUAUUGCAAGAUAGAUUUAAAAAAAAAAAAAAAAAAAGCCUCUAGCUAUUCUAGUUAUCACAUGGUCUUUCUCUUUCAAGGUUUCUUUACGGUCUCUUCGGUUUUGUUUCUUCUUGUUUCUGCAGAGGCUCAUGCAGAUGUGAGUGAUAACAUGAGGCCGUCAUAAGGCAAGAAUCAUGUGUCUCCAGACAUCUUCUAAAUGGACUGAGUGAUGAAUCACAAAGCUGAAGCAACAACAAAUACAGGACAGACCAGCAAGAAUAAAACCAUCAUCUCAAUACUUAGCUGCUGCUGCUUCUGAUCUCCUGAGCCACUUCCAAUCCAGAACUGUCACCACGCUUGCUCUGGCUGCCGUGAGGAGGGAACUUAGCCAUAUAGCAGAUCCCAGGCUCGGCGCUCAGCCUAAACGACAUGCAGAAGAAUUAUUUUGCAGACGGACAAACCUAGGACAUGUGUUCCUGCUGGGAUCGGCACUCUGCUCUCCCCUCAUGGCCUCCCUAACAAGAGUGCGAGAGCUCAGACCAACAGCCAACUCCUCAACAACAAAAGCCUCCUUGUCAGUACCCAGACGUACUCAAAACAGAGCAGAGAAGGGGAUUUUUUUGACAGAGCUGUGGAUCACAGUCUCAUAAGAACCAGCUUGUCACCUAGUGCUGUCAGCAAAGCUCUAGAUGAAGUUAAAAAUUCACGUUCUUGCUCCCUGCCUCAAUUUCCAGAGCUGUGAGGAUAGUAGUGUGUCUUUGUAGUCCAUUGGUUCUGUGAGGAUUGUUAAGCCAGGAGACAUAAUGUGCAGCUGCUAUGGUGAUGGUGGUGAUAUAGACAGGAAUAUAAGAAGUACUUGAAAUGAUGUACGAGCUUGAAACCCAUAGCAAGAAAGAACUUUGACAUUUCACUUUAGAGAUUAGGAAUUGUCCCAGGAAAAAAAAGUCUUCCUUCCCUCCUAAAAAUUGAGCCCAAAUCUGAUGUCUCUAAUCCUGCUUUUCACAGUCUUGCAUAAUGAUCUACAUGAAAACUUUAGAGUAAAAAAGCCAAAUGCUUCAUGCUCUAAAUUCUGAAGUGGAACAAUUGCAGUGGUCUUGACAUU